UCUGGACCCGACAUUUGAAAACCUCCACCUCUCCUCACCCUCCCAGCCCACUGAUGUGAGGAAAUCCAGCUCUGAACAGACUGAACUUCUAAAUCCCUCCUGGAAGCUUCACCCUGAACAGACAACUGCAACGCCGUGGUAACGGGCAGAUUACAGACGGAUCUGAAGACCCGACCGGCCUCUGGGGCGGCGUUUGGUGAAGUUAUCUCUGGAGGCUGCUGGAGGAUAAAUGUGGAGAUCUGCAGAUAGAAGCCAAGAAGAUGAACGGAGCUGGAGAGGAAGAAGAUCUACAGUGGUGUUCAAAAUAAUAGCAGUCCCACAUCACUUUAUCAGGACCGUCAGUGUUGAUUUAACUUAUUUCUAAAACAGCGGCGGACUACUUCCAGCUGCGGAGGGACACCCUUUUCCAGCUAGCUGCAAUCUGACGCAGUGACGCAGCAGAGUGCAACUGACCAGGGCGGAGGGAUACGUCAUUCUGCUGGGAGAAGAGACACUGCGAGGAGGUAAGUUAUCUUCUGAAAGUGCUUUUGAGUUUUUGUUGAUAAAAUUUAAUAACAAUGGCAGUUUCUUCUGUGAUAAAAUGGAAUAAAAUCAGCACAUUGACAGAGCUUUGCGAAUAUGACUACAUUUCCGUGUUUUUCUCUAUGCUAAUCCAUCACGUUAAUCAAAGUUUGAAAUGGCGCAUUAGUAAACUACACCACUGUUGUCAAUGGCGGACAUUUUAGUUGAGGGGCGUUCAUUUAGGUUAGAAAUGCUUCCGACGUGACAGGAGCAAUAAAAAAAACUUUGGAAUUCAACAUUUGCCUGCAAGCAACUUCUGGCUAACGUUACCCUUUUGUUAGCUAGCUAGUUUGCACACAGUUAAAGUUGUGCCGGUAUGCCCGCGAAACUGAGCCCCCCUCCCCUCCCCUCCCCUCCCCUCCCCGGAUCAAAAGGGCCGCUAUUUGUCUAUUUGUCCAUCUGCACGGUAAGUUUUAACUUGUGAAAUAACAAGUUAAUGAAGUCUAAAGACUUGGACGCUUAUAUUUACUGCAUAUAGUCAACGUAUUUGUCGAUGGUCCGAGUGUUUGAGGGGAGGCAUUUGUGUUUGUACGGCGUAUAGUAAUGAAACGAGCUGAAAUACUGUGAAUUUCUUGCAUUCACGCUGUUUAUCUACCAUCGCUCU